GAUACCACAUAAAAGGACACAUCCCUGAACACAUGAGUAUCACAUCUCAGUUGUAUUAUUGAGCGCCUUGUUCCAACCACAGAAGAGUAGAAGACUCAGAGCAAGAAUCAAAAACCGCGAUCAAUACAAAAUGAGAGGCAUUGUGCUUAUCGCUGUGUUAUGUGGGGUGAGUCUGGUUCGUGCCAGUAUCGGGACCCGUCAACCCGAAGAAAUGAAUGAGGAAGCUUUAAUGAAAUUGGCUGAGAUUUCCCAACAACUUGAAAGCUCGAUGUACAACUUGACAAGAACCCCAACCGAUCUCCCAAUCGGAUCGGCUUGUCUGCUUUCUUCUGACUGUGGUACUUUCUUCGAUUGCAUCAACAUGGUUGAUACCGCAAACGAUUACAUGACCACCACUGGCCACAUGAACGAGCAGGAGACAAUCUUCAGCAAAGCCAACAUCCGAGGCAAAGAAUGCGCCAUGAACCAACAGAAGAUCUUCGAGACCAUGCCACAAGAAGAAGCUUUGCAGCUUAUCCAAGAGGCUCUUGAGGAACUCGACUUUUUCCUUGGCACAUACGAUGACGUCGGUCUCAAUCUCCGUGAGCAAGUCGGAACAGCCAGCUUCAACUUCACCAACGGCAUUGCUUUGCCAGCUGCCAGAGCUUCAACUACCGCCGCAACAAAUGCCAUUUCGCCUUUAUUCCUGAUCUUGGCUCUCCGUGGAUCUGGAUCUUCAUCCCUGACAUCCGGUAACUCCGCUCUUCUUCUCAUCGCCUUGAUGUCCCAACAACAACAAGGAACAACAGGCACCGGUACCGGCACCAGCAGCAAUGCUCUUUCCAACCCAUUCUUGCUCUACACUCUGCUCGGAAACCAAGGAACCUCUUCCAGCGGCAGCAACAACAACAUUCUCCUCUACUCGUUGCUUUUGUCUCCAGGUGGUUUGGGAGGACAAGCAUCAACAACCGUCGAUCCAGUCACCGGACAGCCAAUCCCAGCAACAAACAACUUCCUUUCAAACCCACUUCUCCUCUACAGUUUGUUGGGACAAAAUAGCGGUUCGUCGUCUACAGGAGGUUUGGACACAACCACUCUUUUGUUGUUGACCAUGAGCGGAGGUUUGGGAGGAUCUGGCACUGGUACCGGAUCAACUGGUGGUUUGGGAGGCAGCGGUGGACUCUCCAGCAUUCUUCCACUUCUUCUUUUGUCCGGCAACAGCAGCUUGGGAGGUGGUUCAUCUAACAGUCUCUUGCCUCUUCUUUUGUUGAGCGGAGGUGGUCUUGGAGGACAAACAACAACAAUUGACCCCGUCACCGGUCAACCAGUGCCAUCUACAUCAUCAAGCAUGAACAGUUUGUUGCCACUUCUUCUUCUCGGAAACCAAGGAUCAUCUGGAAGCAGCACCGGCGGUUUGGACACAACCACACUUUUGUUGCUUGACCAUGAGCGGAGGUUUGGGAGGAUCUGGAACUGGAUCAACUGGUGGUUUGGGAGGCAGCGGUGGACUCUCCAGCAUUCUUCCACUUCUUCUUUUGUCCGGCAACAGCAGCUUAUUGGGAGGUGGUUCAUCUAGCAACAGUCUCUUGCCUCUUCUUUUGUUGAGCGGAGGUGGUCUUGGAGGACAAACAACAACAAUUGACCCAGUCACCGGUCAACCAGUGCCAUCUACAUCAUCAAGCAUGAGCAGUUUGUUGCCACUUCUUCUUCUCGGAAACCAAGGAUCAUCUGGAAGCAGCACCGGUGGUUUGGACACAACCACACUUUUGUUGCUUACCAUGAGCGGAGGUUUGGGAGGAUCUGGAACUGGAAUCAACUGGUGGUUUGGGAGGCAGCGGUGGACUCUCCAGCAUUCUCCCUCUUCUUCUUUUGUCCGGCAACAGCAGCUUGGGAGGUGGUUCAUCUAGCAACAGUCUCUUGCCUCUUCUUUUGUUGAGCGGAGGUGGUCUUGGAGGACAAACAACAACAACCAUUGAUCCCGUCACCGGACUUCCAGUCCAUCGACAAUCUAACAGCAUGCAGCAGCUUCUUCCACUUCUUCUGUUGACACAAAACCAAGGAACAUCAUCAACAGGAAGCAACAACAACAGCUUGCUUAUGAUCCUUCUGUUGUCUUUCAUGCAACAACAACCAGCCCAGCAAACCGGUUUAUCGACUGGUUCCCUAAUUGGUUAAAAUUUUAUUUCCAACAUUUUAAUUUAUGGCCGAUAAUAUGUCAAUUAGAUUUUCGAUUCGUGCGUUGUAAAUUAUCUUACCCUAAAUCAUAAUUUACUCUUAAAGACUACCGAGUUCUCGUCUCCUACAAAAAUGCCAAACAUAUAUUGGAACCCAGACCUUAAGAGGUGCCACGCUAAAUUGACAUGAUGUCUUUUUACGCAGAGGGAUACAAGUUUGGUUAUUUUUGCCUUCAACCUUUUAUUCAUUCCUUUUUUGUAUUGUUCGCGUUUGUAACUUGCGCUUUUAUGUCUAAAAGCAAUGGAAAUAAAACAUUUAUUUUACAGUA